rnacentral:lncRNA from 1 species
AUUUGGUCUGAUACAAUUAAAUGGCAUCUUAUAGGAGUUAGUGCCCCUGAAAUGUCUUAAUAUAAGGUUAUUUGAUUAUAACUUCAACUAAGUUCAUUAUAAAGUCAUAUGACCUUGUACAAAAGGUUAGGUGACACAUGACCUUGAAAAAUGACAACCGGAAGUGACCUUGAGAAAACAGAAAGUAGCUAUGUUUGCACUUUUUUCAUAUCAAAGUACUCAGAAUCCAUAUAUUUUGUAACUUAAAUACAUUAACUUAUCACUCAAGAC